rnacentral:piRNA from 1 species
UAAUUUGAUAAAGUAAAGGGGCCCUGAGCCUA